GAUGAACGCUAGCUACAGGCUUAACACAUGCAAGUCGAGGGGCAGCAUGAUUGAAGCUUGCUUCAAUUGAUGGCGAUCGGCGCACGGGUGAGUAACACGUAUCCAACCUUCCGUACACUCAGGGAUAGCCUUUCGAAAGAAAGAUUAAUACCUGAUGGUAUCUUAAGCACACAUGUAAUUAAGAUUAAAGAUUUAUCGGUGUACGAUGGGGAUGCGUUCCAUUAGGUAGUAGGCGGGGUAACGGCCCACCUAGCCUACGAUGGAUAGGGGUUCUGAGAGGAAGGUCCCCCCACAUUGGAACUGAGACACGGUCCAAACUCCUACGGGAGGCAGCCAGUGAGGAAUAUUGGGUCAAUGGACGAGAGUCUGAACCAGCCAAGUAGCGUGAACGGAUGAAGGUCCUACGGAUUGUAAACUUCUUUUAUAAGGGAAUAAACCCUUCACGUGUGGGAGCUUGUAUGUACCUUAUGAAUAAGCAU
rnacentral:rRNA from 1 species